rnacentral:lncRNA from 1 species
CAUUGUCAGAGCGGCUACAGCGGAAUGGUUAACGUGGAACAACAAACCAAGAUGGGUUUUAAUAUAAACGUGUCCCUUUUAGUUUCUACUCAAUUUAUCUUACUACGCAAAUAAUAAAUAUAAAUAAAAGAGUAAGGUUGAAAGAAAUUUGCACAGAUGAUUUUUAUACUAGUUUGGAUCUUACCAAUCCUACGCCCAGUCACUUAUCUCAAAUCAAGAUAAAUAGUUCACUAAGCACAAAACAAUUACAAACUACAUUCACAAAGAAACAAUUUGUAAGAGUUUAGAAACCACCUCUCUUGAUACCACAAGAGAUGAACCUGCACCUCCUUUGAGUCUUCACAAAGG